UUGUUCCUUUUUCCUAUGCAUAUACUUCUUUGAGAAUUGCUUCUGAAGAGGUAUAGGGCAUGGGAAAAUGGGGCAAUUGAGGUACUUCACCACUCAUUUCAAACAGCUGUAGAAAUGUAUAGCGAAAACAGAAAUAUGAAGAAAUUACAGGUAAAUUUGUUAAACUCCCAAUUAACCAUCAAAACCUGCAUAAAAAGAUACUGGUAUUAUUUACUCUGUUGGUUUCAUCUUAAAACCUGAUUUAUUACAAGAGUAAUAUUUAAGCAUUUAUCCAACUACAUUAUAUAUACAUAAUCUCGCUUGGUUUAAUGUUCUGUCUAAAACAUAUGCAUUGCUAAGAAGUUACUCCUGUAGUCCUUAUUCCCAUAAACCUCCAUCUGAAAAUAAUGGAAAUGCAGUCUCACAAACUGCAAAAAAUGCAGCUCUGUCUCCCUGUCUCACAGGUGCUGGGAAUCAUUCUUCACUGAAUCCAGUUAGUGCUGACUCAGGUACCUUGGAAGUGGAAGUAUAGAAGCUCUCUUGGCUUUUUUCAUUCAGUAGAAAAACAGUCAUUAAACACAAUUUUUAUGUUUCUGUCCAAUUACUUUUAUUUACUCUAAAUAACAAUGUAUCAUGUCAAUUGGAGGGGAAUACUGCUACUAUGAAACAAUGUAACAGUACAUAACAUAUGUCAAAUAAAAAUCUUAUGUUUCA